AUUGAACGCUGGCGGCAUGCCUUACACAUGCAAGUCGAACGGCAGCACGGGGCAACCUGGUGGCGAGUGGCGAACGGGUGAGUAAUGCAUCGGAACGUACCUUUCAGUGGGGGAUAACGUAGCGAAAGUUACGCUAAUACCGCAUAUUCUGUGAGCAGGAAAGCAGGGGAUCGCAAGACCUUGCGCUGAUUGAGCGGCCGAUGUCAGAUUAGCUAGUUGGUGAGGUAAAGGCUCACCAAGGCGACGAUCUGUAGCGGGUCUGAGAGGAUGAUCCGCCACACGGGAACGGAGACACGGUCCAGACUCCUACGGGAGGCAGCAGUGGGGAAUUUUGGACAAUGGGGGCAACCCUGAUCCAGCCAUGCCGCGUGAGUGAAGAAGGCCUUCGGGUUGUAAAGCUCUUUCGGCCGGGAAGAAAUCGCACGGGCUAAUACCCUGUGUGGAUGACGGUACCGGAAUAAGAAGCACCGGCUAACUACGUGCCAGCCGCCGCCGUAAGAC
rnacentral:rRNA from 1 species